ACAUAGAACAUUAGUUUAGCUUGGGAUCUUCAGCGCAGCCCGAGAUGUGUAGGUGCCCAAACCCCAAAAUUAGAUUAAUCUAAAUCCCAAAGAAGCUUAGAAAAAUCUCUGUCAAGGUUCCUGUUAUCACUAAAGGACUAGAAAGCAGAAUAAGCUGGUGAUAACUUCAGAUGCCUGAUUUAGUGUCUAGAAUGUUUUAGUUCCUUGUUUUUUAACGUAUUUUGGUAGAGUGGAUGGAUGCCUUAGUAACAACCGGGUUAACCACUCAGUCUGCCAAGACGGAUGACAACAGGUCUCAGACCUACGCUGGUGUUUGGACAACAGUGUGAGAAUUUGGUGGCACUGAAUUUGAUGUGACAGCCUGUGUCUGAAGAACGCAAAACGGGGUGGGGGGAGCAGACAAACUGUUAUCACCUGGUUCUCUUUCACAUUUACAGAUUGGUAGGAGCCGUGUCAGAAUCUGUCACUGCCCCUCUUCUGCGGGACACAGACACGAGUGGGUCAGACCCACCCAAGCGGGUUGGACAGAGAAGCGCAAAGCAGCAGGAGAUGUGCCAGGCAAGGACUAAGGCAUUAAAGCUCAUUGCACGGGUACGGCCAGAGGCAGGUGAGGGAGAGCAUUGCUUUCCCUGACAGGAGUGUCUUGACAGCUGUGGGAGCUGGGAACCGGCAGAGCAGGUAGAGCCGUGCGGGAGCCCAGGGCUGGAGCGGGGGCAGCUCGGCAGGGCUGUGCCAGCCCCCGCUGCCGGCACGUCUGUGUUUCCCUGCCCAAAACUCCCUACCCAUCUCCUCCAUCCUCACCCCACACCUUCCACCUUCCCGCCCGUAAGCGCUGCGUGCGAAGGGCACGGAUGUGAGGGCGUCAUCGGUGGGAGGCUGUGGAGCAACAGGCUGAACAGUCGGAAUGGCUUUGAACAGCUCAGCAGAAUCGGCAUUGCAGACACAUCGGCCGAAAUACAAUAUGCAUGCUGGAGAGACAGACAGGCGGCUGCCCAGCUUUUUUGUUUGCAAACGGGAAGGGAAUACGGAGCCAGCAGCCCCGGUCGAUUCUGCUGGGCAGAACGCUGCCGUUGUGGAGCUGCCACCACCGCCUUUUCUUUCCUGCUGAUAACGUUUGCUCCUUGUUCAUUGUUCAGAGCUGCUCUUGAGUUCCUCCUCCCCCACUUAUCACAUAUGCUGGAAAGGAGGAUUUCCCAAUAAAGGUAAAGAGAAGGGACUGAUAGUAAUGUUCCAGAUCUAACUCAAUUUAACAAGCACUACUCAAGCUAGUAAAGCUGCUGCUGUUUUGUUCAAAGAACAGUGCUGACAGCUUAUACAGGGAGGAGCAUUAACUCCAUCUGUUCCUUGUACGAGAUUUAGUAUUCCAAGAGAACUUUUUUAGUUAGAGAGAAAGCUUAAGCCUAAAUGUCCCUUGGAGACAUGGGACUGUCUUGGGUUUGUUUUACAGAAUCAGCACUGAGUUGGAAGCAGGUGAGGUUUUGGAGGACCCACAUGAGAUCCUGACACUCUUAAACCUGAACCCAUAGCCGUUUUGGACCAGAAGCUGAACUGCCCUCUAAAAUAAACGCAUACGAAGGGUCCAUUUUUUAGCCUGUUUUAUUGUUCAUAGACAUUUCUGAGUCUCCAGGUGGUGACUACCUUUUGCCUAACCAAUGGGACCACUAGCUGCCUGUGAAGCAAGGAGCUAAUGAUUGAGACUCGCUAGAAAAUGGUGGAGGGAGACUCUCCUGUCAGCAGAUCUGAAUGUCAGGCAGGGCUUCCCAUCGGUCUGAGGAUGUGCGACAUUUAACUUCCCCGCAAUCCCACACCGGGCUGCAGAAUCCAAACCACGACUCGUGUCCCGCCUGGGGAAGGUUCCGGCCAGUCCUGGAGUUUCCCAUCAGCGUUCGCAUUUUGUCUGAGGUCCCUGCAGCCUCAGGAGCUGUCAAACCACCUGCUUUUCUGCUUCCAUGCGGUUUAAACAGCAAGAGGAACGUGUGUGUUUAAGGAACCUGUUUACCGUGCAAAGGUAAACAGUCAGGUUCCAUUUUCACAAUUGCUCCUGUGUUAGAGGUGGAUGCAAACACUGAGUUGCCAGCGCUACUGCGUCACAGAUGCAAACAAUUUUCAUCAGGGCAAAAGCCCGGAUGAUACCACCAUGGCAACCAAUUUUAAAUAGAAACAAUAGUCCAGCUCCUUCACCGAAAUAAAGGCACAGGACCCGAGGAUCUGGUUAUAUAUUUGUGCAACAGACAAUACAAAUUUUGAGCAUUCGUAUUUUCUGUGUUUUUAUUGCUUAUUUCCUCAGAGCAUCUCAACAUGCUGUUUGCAAUUUACAUGCAGUAAAUCCUAAAGCAAUGAAGCCAUCUCUGUGUGGCUAGCAGCAGUCAGAAACCAGCAUGGUGGGUAAAGGAAGCUCUUGCCAACUUCUUUAUCUUUCCACUUUCAGAAUCUUGAUGUCCUCAGCAGAGCCGGCCAGCUUUCCCCCUGAAAAUCUCCAGCAGAUAAACAACAAAUCAUUAACACUGGAAAGAUGAAGUGCUGAAUCAUGCCUCCCACGCUUUAGAACUUGUGUUCCACUGAGUCUAAUUAUUUUGCACUUGCUACAUAAAUCUUUGAGCAGCCUCUUCCAAGAACAUUCAUGGUGAGGGCUGAAAAAGAGAAGAUUCAGAUGAACAGCCUAACGUGGGGACGAUAGUUCUGGUCAAGCUCGCUGGAAGCCAGUGUUAACUUAUCUCAUAGGAAUGGGAUUUUAUUUGGCCCCAAACAACCUCGAGCUAACUUGAAAUUGCCAUGAGAACAGCACAGUCCAUGUGCAGCUGACUGAGCAUAUAGAAACUGCAAACAGAUGUUGAACAUAUUUUUAAGCAUUUUAACCAGUGUCUUUUGUGUAUCUGAAAUGAGGUGAAAAUAUGUUAAAAUCCCACCAGAUCGCUCUCUCCCUCGUUGCAGCCUUAGCAGAGUCAGUGGGUGCAGAAAUAGGAUGCUACUUUUUGAACUUGCUUGGGUAUUUGGGGUGGGGAGUUACUAUCAAAAAAGCCAAAUGACUAACCUGCGGCAAAUUCAGGGAGGGCAUGUGUCAAGUACCCCACAGCUCUUCAUUCUGAGCAGGAACUUCAGCGCUCUGGUGUUGUUUUCCCCUGUGUCAUUCUGAUCUGUCAGGUAGUAUCAGUUACCAGAAACUAUGCGGGUUUAUUCUGUACUUUGUAUUCAAAUACAAAUGGAGCUGAAUACUUGUCAUAGUCCUUUGGGCAGGGCUCCUUACUGCUGCAGAGUUUAAUAUUGAGAUUGGCAACACUCAGUUAGCUGAUGUAAUCCAUUCCAUUACAGAUAUUUACAGCAUGCCAUAUUACAAUACAAAAGCAGAGGUUUAGAGACUAGAAAGAUGUGACAAGGAAAAAAAGCCAACCCAUUCAAAGGCGAGGCUGACACUGCAGGGGUCUAUUCCCCUCACUGUACAUUCCCAAAAAUUCCUUUUAAUGCCAUUCGGAGCAUCCGUGAUGCAAAAUUCAGAUCAGGCAUAAAGCAAACGGCAACUGCGCUGAUGGCAAACAAAGCCGCUGUUACACACACCACAUCCGACUGUAGAUCUGUCUUUAUCUUUAGCCAGUGACUCACGAUCACCAGCAUGGAUUGUCCAAAGUCACUCCUCGGUUUCCCCAUUCUUCGGCCAAGCAUCACAAGCCCCGGCUUAUUGUAACGCAGGGGGAAGGAGCAGCACAGAGGAGUGUUUGUUCCUCAUUCUAGUGGCCUCUUUGUGCUCCUGCAGUAGCCCAGGAGCUAAUACAGUGAUCCGUGAGUUAUAACAAGUCAGAAAACUAUGUGCAGCUUAUUUAUGUUGUCAAACUCCUCGAGAUUUCCUUCUGGAGUUCCUUGUUUACCUCUAAGCCUCUGUCAAUAAGCAAGACUCGUCAAGCAGCUCUUUUAGAUUGGAGGGUGGAAGCCGAGUGACUCCCUACCCAUUUAAGAGCCCAUUUUUUUGCUACAGCUCUCCCGGAGAAUCCUCGGUGUCUGUUGUGCAGAAUCAGCACUUUCAUUAGCACUAAUGGAGCCUCUUCUGGUGGAAGGCAUUGGAGAGGAUUCACACGUAACUGGGGAAUAUCUGUUACAGGAGAUACACACCCCACACUGCCUGGUGCUUGUGAUUUGAAGUGAUAAAAAAGUACAGAUAAUGCGGUAUGAAAGCAGUGCUGUGCUUCUGAUACAAGUGGGCCCAACCCAAGAGCUUGUUUCCCCGAAUUUCCUAAAGUUCAAGGAAGGCUGGAGCCAAAGUCCUUACUGAACAGUCCGAUUUUGUGUUUAGUUUUAUUUGUCGUGAAAGUGGCAAAAUUUGCUUUAUGAGACAAAUGUUAUUUGCCAUACCAUUGAAUCAGUUUCUUGCCUUUUGCACUGGCUUCUCAGUGCUGUUGGUAAAAAUAAUAAUGUAUCGUGUAAUAAUAUAUCAUGUAAAGUGAGUUCAGCUGCGUUUUUUCCCUUCCUGGCCUCUGCAAUGCUUGCCUUUUAAACAUUUUUAUACACUUAUUGA